rnacentral:lncRNA from 1 species
AAGGUGUUGCAGACUCUGGCUACUCUAAACUGCAUUUUCAAGUUGAGGCUCUUUGGACCACCUAGGUAGUGUGAACUCACACUGCAAACCAUGUAAGGGCUGGAUUGAGGCUACAAAUUUCAGGGAGAACUUUUUUCUCUAUUCAGUGCCAAGUUGUUUAUAGCUGGUUUUCUCAGAGCUAAAAAGAAAUGAGCUAUCAAGCCAUGAAAAGAUGUGGAGGAAUCUUAAGUGCAUAUUACUAAGAGAAAGAAGCCAACCUGAAAAGACUGCAUGCUGUGUGAUUCCAACUCUAUGACAUUCAGGAAAGACAAAAUCAUGGAGGCAGUAAAAGGCUCAGUGGUUACAAGGAAAGGGGUAGAGGAGGGGAGAUGAACAGCUGGAGCCCAGAGGAUUUUUAGGGCCGUGAAACUAUCCUGCAUGAUAUGGUACUGAUGAAUCCAGGUCAUUAGACAUUUGUCAAAACCCACAGAAUGCAAACACCAAAAGUGAGCCCUAAUGUAAACUCUGGACUCUGGGAGAUGAUGACAUGUCAAGGGAGGGCCCUCAACUGCAGCAAAUCGCUUUGCUGGGGAGUCUGUGUGUGGGUUAGGGCAGGAUGCCAAGGGAAAUCUCUGUCCUUUCCUCCGAAUUUUGCUGUGAACCUAAAACUGCUCUAAAAAAUAGAGUAUUAAUUUAAAACAAAAUAAAAUAAAGGCGAUGUUCUGAAUGUUUGUGUCUCCUCAUGAACAAAAUUGGUGCAAAACAGGCCUGCAGAGCUGCGGUGUCCUUUUUUUUGAGACGGGGUCUCACUCUGUCAGUUUGUGUGAGGGAGAGAGAGAGAGAUUGGAUUUGAGAAUGGAACUGAAAUUGUGCAUGAAUGGAAUUUGAAUUCCAAGACAAACCCCAUCUAAAUUCUCGCUCCUAGAGAUAGCUUAGCCCUGCACAGUUCAUCUAACCUGUUUCUACAACGUGGAGUCUUUGGUGGAAUGAAGGUAGGGAAAAGCCUCCCUCAGAGGGCUGUUUGAGGGGCGCCCUAAUAAAAUGCUGAUAGUCGAAGAGGCUCUGCAAGCUGUGACGUGCUGGGCAAUUGUUCCUCCUAAUUUCCAGUGAGAAUCGCUUCCACUCGGUGUGUAUCCAGAAUGAGUAUCAGCACAGCUCAAACCUUCUAAGGCUCCGGGACCCAGAGUGGGAGCUUGGGAACACCAAGAAGGCCAUGAGGGGAGGGAGCUAUGGAGAAGGAGAGAGAGGGAACCACAUUGCCAGUGAAAAUUCUCCCCCACCUUCUUUUCUUCCCCUCCCUUUCCCUUCUUAUUUUUCCCUCCCUUUUCCGUUCUUUCCCCUCCCUCCCUCCCUCCCUACCUUUGUUUCUUUCUCUCUCUCUUUCUUUUUUUCUUUCUUUCCUUCCUUCCUUCCUUUCUCUCUCCUUCCUUCCUUCUUUUCUUUCUUUCAUUCUUUCUUUUUUUCUCUUUCUUUCCUUUUUUCUUCUUUUUACUUCUUCAUGCAUUCAAACACCCAUCCAGUGUCCACUGUGCCCCAGGUCUAUAUCAGGCCUAUAACAUGAGGCUGGCUCCGUCUAACCUCAAGGAACAUCACUUGGGGGACAACGGCUUUUAUCACUGGGGGAUGCCCGUUCAAGUCCACUGCGUUGUGUCUGCCUUUGUGCGCUCAGCAGAAUCCCAGCCACACUCACAUUCCCACAAGGACAUUCCCCCCAUCUCAUCCCUUCUGGGUCUCUCUCCCUGUGGCCCUCUGUGCCUAGACUUGGAAAGUUGACCUUCUGUACCCUUUACAAUGGUGGCCUUGUUGUUCCCUGGGCGCUGGAGGCCCGAGGAGGCCACUGCUUCUCUGUAGCCUCGCUGUGCUCUGGGCCAGAGUGUGGUGCCCUUGCGCUGGCCCACGAUGCCCUGCCUGCCAGGUGAAAGGCACCAGAUAACACGACAUGUCUUUUUUUUUUUUUUUUUUUUUUUUUUUGAAACAGAGUCUCAGUCUGUCGCCCAGGCUGGAGUGCAGUGGCGUGGUCUCGGCUCACUGCAAGCUCCACCUCCUGGGUUCACGCCAUUCUCCUGCCUCAGCCUCCCUAGUAGCUGGGACUACAGGCGCCCGCCACCACACCCGGCUAAUUUUUUGUAUUGUUUUUAGUAGAGACGGGGUUUCAUCAUGUUGGCCAGGAUGGUCUCCAUCUCUGACCUUGUGAUCCGCCCGCCUCGGCCUCCCAAAGUGCUGGAAUCACAGGCAUGAGCCACCGCGCCCGGCCGACAUGCCUUUAUCGUCAUAUAUACACAUAGCAAUUAACCAGACAAGAGUUCCUCGUUUCUCUCCUGGCUCUGCCAGAACACGGAGCUGACCCCCUCGGUGCUUGCAGGGGGGCCGCCCUGGCCGUGGUGUUGGUGGCCCAGGGCAGGGUGGAACACCCGCCAUCCUCGCACCACACCAGCAGGCUUUUCCUCCAAGAAGAAAGGGGCGGUGAUGGGAAGGACGGAUGAUCCAGUCUUUGUCAGGAAAUGGCAAUGAUGCAGGCCUUGAGCAGGCCUGCGGGUUCCCAUAAUUGCUGGGCUCAUCAAAGAAAAUCCAUCUAAGCAAAUUUAAGAAGAGCCAGCCCCCUGGCUGGGAGCUGCUCAGGCCAUUUGUCAUUACUUCCUCCUGAUAAGGCCAGUGUUUCAUCCAGGAAGAAUGUGGCUCGCGCGUUCCCAGUCUCUUUCUCGGGCCAUUCCGAAGGUGGGAGCUGCGGACCUCUCAAGAGCGCAGACGGAGCCCCCGGCUCUGUUUGCAGAAAUUCCACUGCCGGUCUGGGCUGUGAAUCAUGCUCAGGGUUUGGAAAAAGUUGCAGCAUCAAAGCCAACUGAGGUUUGGGGCUCAUCCCAGAUGUGGUGUCGGGGCAGGGGGAAGGGCAGUGUUCCUUCCCGAGGCUUCCCCAUAGGCACUAUCUGGGGACAGGGUGGG